UGUUAAUGCUGUCUAUGAUUGGCUAGUUUAGUGAGGUCCUCAGAUCAGCCCCACAGGGGUCAGCCUUGGUCCUGGUGGAGUGCUGCGAAGACGGUCAAACUUAACUAUCUAGAGGAAGUAAAAGCCGUA